UUCAGCUUUUAUCCCAGUGCAUGCAGAACCUUGGUCACACUUUGCCUCAUCCAAGAUGUUAUCAUCCUAAAGCCACGCCUGGUUCCUCUAGAAGAAAAGCACAGUUCCUGGCAGAGUUUUUUCUUGUACAGAUGUUCCUCUGGAAGAAACAAAUCACCAGAUCACAGGCAACUGAGAGGGAGCUGCAGUCUGAAGUUCCACCACCAUCACUCUGCUUCUGACACCAGGGUGCCUUUGGAGUACCAACAGUUAUUUUGCCAGAGCAGCUUCCAAAUGCCAAAGGCAAAACUGAUUCCCUCUGAUACCCAACUGCUAAAGUCCUGCUUCAAAUUCAAGGACUGGCAUUGGUAUGCAGCACUGAAAAGACAUAAAGUGAGCCCUGGGGCCACAGAUCAUGUUUGCUGCAGUGGCCCAAAGAAACACAGAGCUGUGCAGCAUGAUCAGGAGGUGCUGAUGCAACUAGGGCUGUGCAAGCAGCUGGCUGGGAGGAAGAGCUACACUGAGGCCUCAGCAAGGUGGUGAUUUCAUUUCUGAUUGCUAAGUAGUGUUCAAAAAAAGAGGCAACGUUGGAAAAACAAGCAACCAAAUGAAUAAAUAACAGGGCAUCUUC